CACAUAUGCAUGCAUACAUACAUAUGCAUACACCUACACAUGCACACACAUACACAUAUAAACUUUAGUAGUCUGACCAUCUAAUUUGCCUUUAGAGAGUCCUCUAACUCCUAAGCUAUUGUCAGAGAUCCCUGAAGGUCAAAUUGGUUUUGCCAUGUUCACAAAGUUUGAGGGUUAGGAAAUCGGGCAGGGCACAGGAAAACCGUGACCUCUGCUCAGUGGUAUCUGGGGUCUCAAUGGAGAGCUCCAAAGCCUGGACGUCAGAGCCCUUUUAAGUCUCAUUCACUGGCAUGUCAGGCAGCUGCUGCCUCGGGGUUGACUGAAGUCCUCAGUCCCACCACACACAGGUCUUGCCGUGCGGUCACUGCUCUGUGUUAAUUUGGGUCUCCGGUGUAGAACUGCAUUGUGGCAUCGAGGACAGGUGUUCUGACGAGAUGCAAGGAGAAACUCUGUCACCUUUUCCGAUGUAGCUGUAAAAGUCACACCUUACCAUUUCUGUCGUAAUCGCUGUCUCAUCCACAGUCUAGGAAAGAGGAGACAGACAGCCCACCCCCUAUGCCUUUCCACAGAGCGAUGCCAGCUGCACCCUGCAAAUGUGUGGACGAGAUGGAAUAGGGAGAGAACAUGCAUUCUGCCACAAAUAGGAGCACAUUUUCAUCAGUACUUGCUGGUCACCUUCAUGAAGAUGUGGUAGUCACAGUGUUUGAAGGAAUAUGCACCCACACGUGAACACAUCAAAUUGUGUACCCUGCAGUAUCCAGUACAACGCCCUGUGCCCUCGGGAAGGCUGUCUGAAUGUCAGCUCCCUCCUCAGCAGCUUUGUCCGUGAACCUGAGCGUCAACACCCCCUUGUCUAUGGCACAGACCUUAGAGCCUGGUGCGUGGUGCGUGCCUAUCCUUCCAGCCCUAGAGACGUAGACGCCUGAGGAUCGGAAGUUCAAGGUCAUCUUCAGCUUGCGUGGAGUGUUCCCAGCCAGCCUCAGCUGCAUAAAAACCCAAAUAAAAGUGAAGAUGGACAUCAGACAAGUGUAUUCACUAGAGCUUCAUCUCACCCCAGACUUUUGUUUGGCAGCUUAUUUUUAAAAAGUGUGUUUUCAAGUUAGCAUACAGAGGGACGUGUUUCCUUAUGGCACUUUUGUACACAUGUGUCACUGUGUUCUGAUUCGUCCCCUCUGCAUCGGCUGCCCCCAUCUCCCUCACAACUCUUCCUGGUUCCCAUCUCAAGCAGACCCAUGCUUUGAUUUCAUAUCGUAUCUUCUCCAUUACUCUCCCCUUUUCCCCUCCUUGGUCCUUAGAACCUCUACCACCCCUCUCACUGUCCCUUUUCUAUUUUCACAACCUACAUGUACAUGAACUCACAUGUACACAUACAUACAUACAUACAUACAUACAUACACACAUGCACAUACAUACACACAUGCACACACUUGCAUAUAUAUACACACAUGCACACAAUAUACAUGUAUACCUACAUACACAUAUACAUGUAUAUAAACAUGCACACAUAUGUGUACAAACAUGCAUACAUACACAUGUGAACACACACAUACAUACCUGCACACAUGUGCACACACAUAUACAUGUAGACACAUGCACAUACACAUGUGUACACAUACGUGCACACAUGCACACACUCAUGGACAUAUACACACAUGCACACACACACACUCCCCUCUAAAGUCCACAUAUAAGAAAAAAAGUAUGAUAUUCAUCUUUCUCAGACUAGCUAUGGCACUUAACAUAAUGAUCCAGCCUUUUUUCUGCAUAAAUAUGAAUAAAUUCUAUUAUUUAUAUGUACUACAAUCAUCCAUCUUUUGGUGGAUAUCUGAGCUUGCUUUCAGUCCUAGAUACAAUGAAUAGUGCAACAACAUAGACGGAUCUCUGAAGUAUGUUAACUUAGGUUCAUACUCGCAAGUUGUAUAGCUGCAUCAUCAUACCGUACUUCUAUUUGGAAUGGGUAUAAAUUGUUUCAUGUAUUUAUUUUUAUUAUGUGUGGGUGUGCAUGUCACAGUGACUGUGUGGAGGAGGUCAGAGAACCAAUUUGUGAGUCGCCUCUUUCUUUCCACCUUUACGUGGGAUCUGGGGAUCAGAGUCUAGCCAGACUUGCACAGUGAGCUGCUUCACCGGCUGAGCUGUCACACCGACCCUACUGGUACUAUCUUGAGAACCCACCACACUGGCGUACGAAGCAUACAGUACAUAGUGGCUGCAGUCUCUGUGUUCCUACCAGCAGGGAGGAAGUGCUGCUGGAGCCCUCUCCACUUCCCCUACAUCCUUCCCAGCCUCUGUCUGUUCUCUUGAGUCAGUGGACUUUCCCAGUAGCAGACAGACACUGCAUGCUACAGUACAUAUCUGCCAGACAAGGUGUGCCGAUUGGCAUAAUAGUGGGUAACUGUUGGAGAGGGGAACGCGCUGCUUUUUUUUUUUUUAAUUGAGAUUUGAAGCUACAUCUGCAGAUGGGAAUGCUACUGUAAACCUGGUUCUUGAAGCCCAUAUCUGGGAAGGUCACGUAUCCUGGCUGGGGACCUGCCACUGAUGCUUUGCUGAAUGUACCUGUUGUCAGACUGUCCCCUGGGUAUUUGUAUUUGUACCCAUAGACUUAGUCCUGGUCAGGGAAGCUUCUCUGUGCCAUGGGCAGAAAUGAUUGCGGAGGCACAGAACUGGUGAAAGUGCUGUGAAUAACCAAUGGCUGUUGGGUGUGCAGCCUUAAAUGCGACAUCUGCCUCAGUUGACUCCCUCGAGGCUCAGAGAAGAUAGUGCAAGAGGUGACAGGAACAAUAUACAAGUUAGAAGAUGGGGAGGAUUGCUGAGAAACGCCAUCUUCUGGACACAACAAGGCCCUCGCACUCAGGAACUCACACCAGCUAUGGCCAUCUGCAUAAGAGAUGGACAAAAUCAAGCCAGUCAGCAUUCAAGCUUGGAUGAGGGCAGGGUUCCUGGGGCACCAUCCCUAAUUGAAGAGCUAUUGAUAAUUGGUGGCCUCUGGGGAACAUGAUAAUUUUUCUUUGGGAGUGUGGCUAACGUUAGAUUUUCCAUGGUCUUAUGGAUGGCCCUGUAUCUCUCGGUGUUCAGGUAGCACUAGUUAGGCUCAGUGGUUAUGAAGGAGAAGGAGAAGGAGACGAAGAAGAGGAGGAAGAAGGUGAUAGUUUGAAUAGGUAUGGUUCCUAUAAACUUGAGUGUUUGAAUGCUUGGCCCAAUAGAGAGUGGCACUAUUAGGAGGUGUGGCCAUGUUGGAGAAAGUAUGUCACUGUGGGGUAGGCUUUGAGAUCUCCCAUAUUCAAGCUAUGCCCAAUGUGGAACACAGUCCCCUUCUGCUGCCUUUGGAUCAAGAUGAAGAACUCUCAGCUCCUUCUCCAGCACCAUGUCUGUGUGAGUGCUGCCAUGCUUCCUGCCAUGAUGAUGAUAGACUAAACUGUAAGCCAGCCACAAUUAAAUGUUUUUCUUUAUAAGAGUUACCACGGUCAUGGUGUCUCUUCACAGUAAUAGCAACCCUGAGCCUAAGAGGAGGAAGAGGAGCAGCAGCAGCAGCUAGAACGCUGGCUUAGCAAUCAACAGCACUUGUUGCUCCUGCAGAGGACUAGAGUUUGGUUCCCAGAAUCCACAAUGGGCGCCUCACAACCUCCUGUAGUUUCAGCUCCCGGAGAUCCAGUGCCCUCUGCUGGCCUCUGUGGGUACCUGCACUCACGUGUGCAUGUCCUCACUUGGGCGCACAUAUACACAAUUAAAACUAAAAAUUAAAUAAAAGGAGAGGACCUGAGGCUGAGAGGGCAAGUGUUGAGGGAGUGGGAGGAUUGGAAAGGGGACUUGUAAUCCAAGAUACACGGUAUGCAAGUAUGAAAUCUCAGAGAAUACAUUUUUUUAUUCUAAAAAAUAUUAAAACAUGGUGUAUUAUUAUUAUCAUUAUUAAUUUUUAAAAAAGGAACAACAAAAAUUACUUAAAGUAUGAAGGAAUAAGUGUAGAGCAAGCAAGAUAAUAUUUUAUAAUAAAAUGUAGGCAAACAAAAAUAAAUGCUUGAAGGGGAAUUUAAGAGGCACAUAAUUUUAAUAUGAAGUAAAAGUACUAGUGGAGGUGUGAUGAAAAAUGGGGGAGGGGUAAAGAAGUAAGAAGAUAAGAAAAGCCAAGAUGAAGUGCUGGAGCAGCUUUGUUCUGGAUUCUCACUCUGGAAACUGCCCAGUACACGGUCAGUGAGGCCAUCAGGCGCUCUUGUGGACUCACGUCAUCCCUGUGGCUUGUUGGUGCUGAGCUUGUGUCAUCCUCUGUCAUAUCUGACUUCACUGUAAUAGUUCUCCAUACAUUCACACCAGGGGCCUCUGCUGGCCACACGUAGCUUUUCUUGUUGGUCCAGGCACCUGGGCGACUCCCCAGAGUGGCUAACGAUGGAGUUGGUGAGUGUCUCCCAGUGUGUUGAGUACCAGAAGCAAGCACAGCACCUUAGAGACUGACAGCCUGUCUUUGCUCUUUGAGGAUUCCUUAGGUGUUAAUUAUCCCACAAGAGGGUCACAGCUUCUGUUGAGUAGAAGUCUGGAGUUUCAGACGUUCCAGGCUCUGGUGGUGGACGGUAGAUCGUUGGCUGCAGAAGUUGGUCUACCCCUGAGCUGUCAAACUGCAGGGUCUAGAGCUAGGCUGCCUUUCCCUCAGCAAUUUUCGAUGUAAGUCAAGCCUCAAGCCACGGGUGCUUUCCAACUUGAUCCCUUCCCUCCCCUCCCCAUGACCAGACACCACUCUGCACAACUGCCUUCUAUGGCCAUCUUUCACUAUAGAGCUGUAGCAAAGUCAACUCAGGCUCCCUUCCUUUCAUCACUGUGGUAGGCCACUCACUGCUCUCCCAGUCACACGGGGUGACAAAAUGGGGUUCCUCCUUAUUGCGGACCCAUUUGCUGGAGGAGCCUCAGUCUCACCAACAACCAAACUUGCCUCAAGGCUUGUAAAGGGUUGUAGGCUUGUCGUGAAGAUAAGACUCCCCAUAGCUUCUACAAGCCCCACCCCAUCGCCACAUACUGGAGGUGGCUGGGCAAAGAUUUGCCAUUAGCUCCUUCCAUCCUGGAGUUGUGAUCAGUUCAUCUUGGCCUCUUUUCCUGCUGACACCAUUUUUUUCUACACUGCCACUGCCUUUGGGAACUUCAGAUGUUCCUUCUUGAUCCCUCUUUGGAGUAGAGUUUUCUACCUUUUUUUUUUUUUAAGAUUUAUUUAUUUGAUGUAUGCAGGUACACAGUUGCUCUGUUUAGACACACCAGAAGAGGACAUCAGAUCCCAUUACAGUUGGUUGUGAGCCACCAUGUGGUUGCUGGGAAUUGAACUCAGGACCUCUGGAAGAGCAGUCAGUGUACUUAACCACUGAGCCAUCUCUUCUACCUUUUUAAAGAGAGCAGUCUCCUCUCAUUUCAGGUGGCAGGAACAAGGACCCCAAAGAGGGUUCGUAGGUGAGAAUGAGAAGUUAGUUGCCUUUGAAAGUGAGAAACCAAACACGUCAGGACCCCAGGACGAAGUUUCUCUAAGAAGAUGCUUAUUGUCUGAUGGAAAGCAUUGUGUCUAACCAUUCCCCUAAGUGGCAUUAUAGCCAUGCUGCCAGGAACUGAUCCUGAGUCAGACAGAGCAGGAGGAAGACUUAGAAAUGCAUUUCUCUGAGGAUGGAGCAGGGUCACAAGCCGUUGCAGCAUACUGUCUCCUCGCCAGUUCUUGAAAGAAGCACACUGAUUGCAGAGAUGCGACCUUGGUUUUCCAAGAGAGGGCACAAGAAGCAGGGCAUGUCCUUAGCUCCAAAGCAGGAAGCUCGGAAUAGGGAGAACUGGGCAUCUGGACAAGAAGGGAGUGUGGGGCGGGGCUAAUACUGUGUAAAACAGGCGUGGAGACACACUGCUGUCAGCCAGCGCGUGGGAAGCAGAAACAGGAGCCUGAAAAGGUCAAGGAUAUCUAACUUUAUAGGAAGCUUGACACCAGUCAUAGCUCGGGGGGUUCCACUCCAGAGUGAGACCUGGUCUCAAACCAAACCAAGAACAAAAAGCAACAACAAGCACAGCUUGUACGAAGGAUGCCGCAUGGACCACUAUGACCUUGAACAACUUCAACCUCUCCAUCUCUCUUCCCCGUUCUUUUUAAUGUUUAAAACGUUGUUUAUGUCCGGGGUUAGCAUAGACUUGCAUAUACUAUGUCCCACUAGGUCAGAGGGCAACACUUUGGAGUUGGAUCUCUUGUCCCACCUUUUUGUGGGUUCUGGGGAGCAAGCUGGGGACAUCAGGCUUCACAGCAAGCCCUUUGAUCGGCUGAGCCACUUCACUGCCCCUCAGUCUCCUGCUGCUGCUGGAGAUGAUGAAGCUUGAACACCCGGAUUAAUUAGACCCUGACAUUGGCCAGCGGCGCUGUCCGUGACAACGAUGGUGCUAAGCCGUGGAUUUAUACUUAGGCUCUCGCCCCAAGGAGAUGCUCAGGUCAGAGCUCUAAAGUUUCAGGCAAACCCUCCAGCCUGAGUGCCUAAGAGACAAGGGAGUUUGGGUGACAGCCUUUUUUUGCAUCCUCUUUGAGAAUGCUGCUUUUUAAUGGAGUUUACAUUUCUAUUCAUCUAUAAUGAUCUUCCACAUAGAGCUGAGGACUCUAGGAAGGACCUGAGAUGGGCUUCAGAAAGCAUUUAGACAUAAAUAACCUGGGCGGUCAAGAUGUGAGAAAA